rnacentral:rRNA from 1 species
UACGAAGGGGGCUAGCGUUGCUCGGAUUCAUUGGGCGUAAAGGGUGUGUAGGUGGCGCGCUAAGUCGGGUGUGAAAUUUCGGAGCUUAACUCCGAAACUGCAUUCGAUACUGGCGUGCUUGAGGACUGGAGAGGAGACUGGAAUUCAUGGUGUAGCGGUGAAAUGCGUAGAUAUCGUAAGGAAGACCAGUGGCGAAGGCGGGUCUCUGGACAGUUCCUGACGCUGAGGCACGAAGGCCAGGGGAGCAAACGGG